rnacentral:sRNA from 1 species
AAAAAGAGGAGAAGUGGGAGUAAACAGAAAGAUAAUGCUUAUGGUACAUACAAAACAAAUGGAGAGAUUGAGUCUCACGGAUUCUUCGCCUGAGCCACCAGCAAAGGUGAUGCCAUGCUGCUAUGAAUGGGCAGAAAAAGCCUGACUGAACUAGUGACUUUUCAGUGAAGAUGUGAAUGUGGAGUGUGCAUCAAGAGCCAUCCAAGUCAAAAUCUAGGAAAAGAAAAUUCCUAGAUGGAGAGAAAGGAGCUUUUGCAAAGGUUCCAUGGAGGGAGAAGUCUUGGUUAUCUGAGAAAAAGUGAUAUGGAAUAGCAGCCCAUCUUCUUCCCUGAAACACAGGGGUUCUACAAACACAGAACAAGCUAGAAAGCAUUUGACUCCCUGUUAUACCAGUCACAGCCUAUUCUCCACCAACAAAUAUAGGAUAAGAGGGGUUCCUGCUUGACACGGUCAUUGAAAUAAUUGCCUAUGAUGAUACCAUCACAUGAGUCCUAUCAAUGAUUUAGUUCCCUAGAGAAAAUCAGAAAGUAAAAGUGAGAAGAAAAGAAGAGAAAUAUGUUACAAGCUUUAACUGGACUUCAAUUUCAGCUGAAAGAACAAUUAGGAGAAAAGGAGAGAAGACUUCAAAUCAGCCAGGAAAUCAGUGCCCAUAGAACAGAGUUCCACAUGCAGUUUUCAUACAAACCAG